ensembl:lncRNA
CUCCUGGCCGGGGUCGGUUGGGAGUUUUCUCCUGGACUCUGUUUCAAAGUCUUCAUUCACUGAGGAACCUGACCGGGGGCGUGGGGCUGAUGUGACACCAAAGUAUCCUAACUGAACUCCACAAGGUGGGGAUCCGUUCCUCUCAGAGGCCCUGUUCCUACAGACACACUGAGAAGGUGUCCUGAGCACACGCCAUGACCCUCUUGGAUCUCUGGGAGAACGUGGCCACUGUAAUACACCUGAGAGGUUGAAAGCCCUGUCUUUAAUAGGAUGGUGAGUCAGGACACAGCAGUGUAAGCCCGUCAUUGGAGAACAUGCCAAAGAAUAUCCAGAAGAGAUCCCUAAAGAGAACGUUUCGAGAGCUGCAAGCUCGGCUUUCAUUAAGAGAACAUUUUCAGAUAAUGUUCACUCCAGGGCCACAUACCAGACUUACUACUUCAGACUCUCUGGGGCUGUCCUGCCAGCAUCAGCUCUCCUAAAGCCUCUCCAGGGGAGAUUUGACGCGCAG